GUCUUUAGAAAAACAUACUGUCAUCGCCUGGGUUGAAAUUCAGUGCCCAGAGCCACCAGGAGCUUCAGCUCACCUCCCACUGCCACGGUGUGGGAGGGUGAAACCCAGGCCCCAACAAGC
rnacentral:snoRNA from 1 species